rnacentral:rRNA from 1 species
GACAGAGGGUGCAAACGUUGUUCGGAAUUACUGGGCGUAAAGCGCGUGUAGGCGGCCCUGCAAGUCGGGUGUGAAAUCCCACGACUCAACCGUGGAAGUGCACUCGAAACUGCAGGGCUAGAGUCCUGGAGAGGAAGGUGGAAUGCUUGGUGUAGAGGUGAAAUUCAUAGAUAUCAAGCGGAACACCGGUGGCGAAGGCGGCCUUCUGGACAGUGACUGACGCUGAGACGCGAAAGCGUGGGGAGCAAACAGG